AAAUUUGAAUGGAUCUGCUUCUAGUACGAGAGGACCGAAGUGGACGAACCUCUAGUGUACCAGUUGUUCCGUCAGGGGCAGUGCUGGGUAGCUACGUUCGGAAAGGAUAAGCGCUGAAAGCAUAUAAGCGCGAAACCCACCUUAAGAUUAGAUUUCCCUACCUAUAUGGUAAUAAGGCUCGUUGGAGACUACAACGUCGAUAGGCUACAGGUGUAAGUGCAGUAAUGCAUUCAGCCGAGUAGUACUAAUUAGCCGAACGGCUUUAUCAAAUUAUUAUU
rnacentral:rRNA from 1 species